rnacentral:rRNA from 1 species
CGGGGUGCACCAGGCGCGAAAACUCUACAAUGCAGGCAACUGCGAUAGGGGAACAUCGAGUGGCGUCCAUAUUGGAUGUCUGUCCUCCCGCCUAAAAAGCGGGAGUUAGCAAGGGCCGGGCAAGACCGGUGCCAGCCGCCGCGGUAAUACCGGCGGCUCGAGUGGUGGCCGAUAUUAUUGAGUCUAAAGGGUCCGUAGCCGGCUUUGCAAGUCUCUCGGGAAAUCCAGCGGCUUAACCGUUGGUCGUCCGGGGGGUACUACAUUGCUUGGGACUGGGAGAGGUAGGAGGUACUCAGGGGGUAGGAGUGAAAUCCUGUAAUCCUUUGGGGACCACCGGUGGCGAAGGCGUCCUACCAGAACAGGUCCGACGGUGAGGGACGAAAGCUAGGGGCACGAACCGGAUUAGAUACCCGGGUAGUCCUAGCCGUAAACGAUGCUCGCUAGGUGUCACAACAGUCGUGAACUGUUGUGGUGCCGUAGGGAAGCCGUGAAGCGAGCCACUUGGGAAGUACGACCGCAAGGUUGAAACUUAAAGGAAUUGGC